UCUUUACAAACACAUUAAAAUCAUCCUCCCCCUCCCCAUCUACAAAAAUUUUCGAACACAUUUACUCCUAAGGGUCCCUAACGCUUCGUUUUCAUUCCCGUGAAAGGCAUUCACUAUCUCAUUUGUCAUUACACACUUCAAAGGAGAUGUUUCAUGUUCAAUGAUGUCCUAGCAGUGGUCUGUUGACACUGGAGGAGUAUCGGAAUUGCAUUUGGACAUCGUUAGCAAGGGUGAGGAAAGAGGUCAGUCCGGCAUUAUCAUUGGGGAUAUUCAGGUAUGUAUGCAGUAUUUGUUACAGUUUUGGUCGAGGUUGAACGUAAUAAUGUUUGAACAGAUUCUUUUAGUUUCCUAAAACUGCGAGAGUUUGAUUUACAUUUUUUGUCUCUUUGAGAAAUGGAAAGCUUUACUCUGACUGUCUACCAUGUGGGUCGAUUCGGAUAUGAAGAUGGGACGUUGUGGUAUAUAGGGGGACAAAAGACACUCAUCGAAGAUGUUGAGAGUGAUUGCUGGUUUGUAUUUGAGGCAUAUGCAGAGCUAAGGCACUUUGGGUACACAAAGGAGAACAUUUCAGCUCUGUGGUAUAAGGAUCCAGCAAAUGAAUGGUUAGAGAAGGCUCUAAAAUUAUUUGCUACGGAUAAAGAUACACUUAAGAUGUGUAGAAUAGCGAAGUUGUGGGGUCAUGUUGAGGUGUUUGUGGUGCAUGUGGUUGAGGAUGCAGAAGAAUUUUCUGAAACUGAGUUUAUGAUGUACAACAAGUUAAUGAAGGAGAUAACUUAGAAACAGAUGUGGCUGCUAAAAAUGAACAGGGUAAGACAAAUAGCAAUGAUGACAGCGAUGAUAAGGAGUUUAUUCCGUCUGAUCUUGAGGUUGAUAGUGCAGACGAUAUUCAUUUUACAAAUAGUGAAGAUGAAUAUGAUGAUGAGAGUGGGUUUGAGGAAGAUACAAGUGUCAAGGAUAGUGAGAGGGUUGAUAAAGGCAAAGGGGUUAUGAAUGGUGAUUUUAGUGAUGAGGAAGGUUUCAAUAGCGAUGAAGUGGAUUUGGAGCAUGAGGUUGGUGUUGGUUCAGAUGAUGAGGAAGGAUAAGGGGAAGAUAACUAUGAGGCAAGGAGCUAUCCAAUUUAUAAGGAUGUUAAAGAUAUGACUAGUUACAAGUGGGAGGUGGAAACAAUUUUUGCUUCAAGAGAGAAAUUUAAAGACACUGUGACAUUGUAUGCAGUACAAACAAGAAGGGAACUCAGGUAUGCCAAGCUUGACUUGGUUAGAGUGAGGGCUGCUUGUCAGCUUGGUUGUCCUUUUUGGUUAUAUGUCGCUAAGAUGAGAGAGGAAGCAACUUGGCAGCUUCGGUCCAUGAACCUUAAGCAUACCUGUGGCCAGUCGCAUAGGGUUGGGAUAAUACAUACUUCGUGGCUGAGUAGAGCUUUUAAGAAGAAGGUGGAACAUAAUUCGAAAGUUAAGAUCAAUGAAUUGGUGAACAAGGCACAAAGAAAGUGGAAUCUGACAAUUACAACCUCAAUGGCAGCUAGGUCAAGGCAAGCUGUGUUGGAUGACAUACGGAGAGAGUAUAGAAAGUAGUACAAGAGGAUUGCUGAUUACUACUCGGAGUUGCUAGUUGCUAAUCCAGGAUCAUCAGUGACGCUCAAGGUACAGAGGUCCCCUGAUUUUGAGAUUGAGCAGCAAUACUUGUCCUUGAACAACUUCUGCAUAUUUCAAAGAGUUUAUGUAUGUCUAGAGGAUUGCAAAGAAAGCUUUGUGCACUGUAGGAAGUUCAUUGGGCUAGACGACUGCUUUAUAAAAACACCUCAAGGGGGGAAGCUGUUGACUGCUAUAGGUUAGAACGUAACCCCAAUGAUAAAAUGCUCCCUAUCGCCUAUGCCGUUGUGGAGUCAAAGACGAAAGAUACCUGGACUUGAUUUCUGAAGCUGUUAAUUGAUGAUUUCGGAUUUGAGACAAUUGGCAGUGCAACCUUCAUGUCUGAUCAGCAGAAGGGUUUACUACCAGCUUUUGAUGAAGUAAUUCCAGGUGUAGAUCAUAGGUUUUGCAUGUGGCAUCUCUAUAGCAACUUUAGAAAAAAGUUUUUGGGACUGCAAUUGAAGCAAUUGAUGUGAAGGUGUGCAAAGGCUACACACUAGAAGGAUUAGGAGAGAAAAAUGCCAGUGGUCCGAGCAGUCAAUGUGGAUGCUCACAAGCAUAUCAACUCUAUUCCUCCUAGAUUUUGGAGCAGGUCCAGGUUUAACUUUCAUUCCAAAUGUGAUACUUUUGUAAACAAUAUGUGCGAAAGCUUUAAUGGUGCAAUAUUAGAGUCUAGGAAAAAUCCCAUUAUUACUAUGCUUGAAGAUAUUAGGGUGUACCUGAUGAGUAAAUGGGCUGUUAAUAGAGAAAGAAUUCAAAAGUUCAAUGGAACAAUUUUACCUCGAAUUAGGAAGAAGAUAGAGAGAAAAGGUAGGGCAGCCGGUUAGUGGAUGUCUUACUGAUCUGCUGCACAGACUUAUGAGGUUGUAAAUGGGUUGAGCAAAAUAUGCUGUUGAUUUGUCUCUUCGUGAGUGUUCUUGUUGAAAAUGACAGCUAAGUGAAAUUCCAUGCACACAUGCCAUCAGUUGCAUAAACUUCAAGGGUCUUGAUAUGGAUUCAUAUGUGGAUGACUACUACAAGAGAGAGGCCUAUGUCAAGUGCUAUGAUUUGAUAAUCAACUCUCUCAAUGGCUCAGAUCUGUGGGAGCACACUAACUUCGAUGAUGUCAUGCCACCACCCUAUCGAAAGCCUAGCCACAGACCAGUAAAGAAAAGGAAGAGAGGACCUGAGAUACAGAGGUGCUCAAACUGUGGUGCAUCAGGUCACAAGAGAGGAAGAUGCAGCAAUCCACCCCUCCCUGCCCAACCACCUAAACAAUCUGCUGUGAAAAAAAACUAAUAGAGAAAAAAAGAGAUCAAUUUCAUAACUUGUUGUGCAAUCUGCUACCAGAAGGAGGAAGAGGUCCAAACUGCAAGGAAACUCAUCAUCACAGCCUCAACCAACCACCAGCACAACAUCCAUAACCAGGUCCAAGUCAUCCCAUUCCUAGCCCAUCCCCAAGCCCACAACACAUGCAUCUAGGCUCAAGACAAUACCAACAGCUACUCCUCAGUGAAUGCCCAAGAUAAAGUCCAUCAGAAGCUCAACACAACUACCACCAGCUGCCAAGGAGAAAGGUACAUCUAGCUCAAGUCAACCAGUUAUGAAUAAAGUCUCCUUCAGUCACAACAUUACACUACAUAUUUCUCCAAGAAAGUUGAGGCUGUUGACAAAACUGCAUCCAAAAACUUGGAAAAAACUUUAAGAAUUCU